ACUCAAAUGAAUAGACGGGGGCCCGCACAAGCGGCGGAGCAUGUGGAUUAAUUCGAUGCAACGCGAAGAACCUUACCUGGGUUUGACAUACACCAGAAAGCUUCAGAGAUGAAGCCCCCCUUGUGGUUGGUGUACAGGUGGUGCAUGGCUGUCGUCAGCUCGUGUCGUGAGAUGUUGGGUUAAGUCCCGCAACGAGCGCAACCCUCGUCCUAUGUUGCCAGCGGGUUAUGCCGGGGACUCAUGGGAGACUGCCGGGGUCAACUCGGAGGAAGGUGGGGAUGAUGUCAAGUCUGUAUGUCCCUUACGUCCAGGGCUUCACACAUGCUACAAUGGCCGGUACAGAGGGCUGCGAAACCGUGAGGUGGAGCGAAUCUCGUAAAGCCGGUCUCAGUUCGGAUCGCAGUCUGCAACUCGACUGCGUGAAGUCGGAGUCGCUAGUAAUCGCAGAUCAGCAAUGCUGCGGUGAAUACGUUCCCGGGCCUUGUACACACCGCCCGU
rnacentral:rRNA from 1 species